rnacentral:lncRNA from 1 species
UCAAUAGAAAAAUGAAGAAGGAAAGAAAACAGGUAUCAUGAAAGAGGUCACCUACCUUCAAGUAAUGGAAUUUUAGAUUCCAAAAUUAAGGUAGGUAAACCUCACUUUACUAUAUGAAAAGAUUUUUAUUUUUUUUUUGGUGGGGGGGAGUUUUGGGGUUAUAGAAGAAACACAAGUAUUUGUAGGAAAUAUAAAAUAUCAUGACUUUCACAAGUGUUGAGCCAUGCUAUAUAUUGCAUUAUAAAAAUGCCAAAGUGGAAGAAAUUACAUUGAGCUAUUGUGUAGAAAUUAGAAAAAGAAAACACAAAACUGGUAUUUUAUGACACAGACAGGAAAGAAUAUUUUAUGUAUGCUAUGACUCCCAUAUCUGUGAAAGCUAUUGUGACUGGUGUCCAGCCCUCACUUUAUACAUUACUCACUGUAAAGGAUGAUGUCACAGAAGGAUUAGUUCUAAUCCUGUAUGAGAAAGCCUGGUGAUGACUCAACAAGGAGUAGAAAAGAAGGAGCUAAAUCAGCUUAAAGUCAGGCUUGAUAUGUUUGGAUGGAAUCAGCAUUUUAUUCACAGUGCUCUGCUCAGUCAAGCUGAAAGACGGCAAGUGAAUAAGUCUUACUGGAAAGGAUAGGUUUGCUAUUUGUGUAGAAGCUAUCUAUGAGCCUUGGAGCAUCUUUGCAACAAGUCUUUUAGCCAGGCCUCACUUACAUGGGAACAAGAUGGGCAGUAAAGUGCUCAGGGUACCAUUGUUUCAGUGGCAUCUGAAUCAAAAGCAAAAGGAAAUUGGUCCUAAAUCCUUGUGUCAGAUCCCACAUCCUUCAAUAGAUGUCCAGAUAAUCCUACUCUCCAUAUGCUAUGAGCACUGAAUUUGGACUUGUCAGCUGCCUCCAGUACCAUUGACCAUGAACUGACCUGCACUCUGGAAGCAAAGACAAAUGGGAUGAAUUGUGGAGCUCAGAGUUAUGUGCAGCUUUGAGCCCUGAAGCAGGUUGGAAGUGGGCUGAGGCAGGGUUCUCUUC